rnacentral:ncRNA from 1 species
UCUCAAUGAGGAUAGAACUGGCAUCUAUCGCCCAACGAGGAGAUGUGAGGUAUUGUCACUCACCAUUGAGA